rnacentral:rRNA from 1 species
UGCCGCGUGCAGGAUGACAGCCCUACGGGUUGUAAACUGCUUUUAUACAGGAAGAAACACUCCGACGUGUCGGAGCUUGACGGUACUGUAAGAAUAAGGAUCGGCUAACUCCGUGCCAGCAGCCGCGGUAAUACGGAGGAUCCAAGCGUUAUCCGGAAUCAUUGGGUUUAAAGGGUCCGCAGGCUGUUUUUUAAGUCAGAGGUGAAAUCCUACAGCUCAACUGUAGAACUGCCUUUGAUACUGGAAAACUUGAGUUAUUGUGAAGUGGUUAGAAUGUGUGGUGUAGCGGUGAAAUGCAUAGAUAUCACACAGAAUACCGAUUGCGAAGGCAGAUCACUAACAAUAUACUGACGCUCAUGGACGAAAGCGUGGGGAGCGAACAGGAUUAGAUACCCUGGUAGUCCACGCCGUAAACGAUGGAUACUAGCUGUUCGUCUAACAUUGGUUAGAUGAGUGGCUAAGCGAAAGUGAUAAGUAUCUCACCUGGGGAGUACGGUCGCAAGACUGAAACUCAAAGGAAUUGACGGGGGCCCGCACAAGCGGUGGAGCAUGUGGUUUAAUUCGAUGAUACGCGAGGAACCUUACCAGGGCUUAAAUGUAGUGGGACAGGUCUAGAGAUAGACCCUUCUUCGGACUCAUUACAAGGUGCUGCAUGGUUGUCGUCAGCUCGUGCCGUGAGGUGUCAGGUUAAGUCCUAUAACGAGCGCAACCCCUAUCGUUAGUUGCCAGCGAGUAAUGUCGG